rnacentral:rRNA from 1 species
CUGAAAGAUGGUGAACUAUGUCUGAGCAGGUGAAUCGAGAGGAAAUUCUCGUGCCUGAGGGCUGCAGUAAUACUGAACAUGCAAAUCGAUCGUCUGACUUGGGUAUAAGGGUGAAAGACUAAUCAAAUCGUCUAGUGGUUG